rnacentral:rRNA from 1 species
AUUGAACGCUGGCGGCAUGCUUUACACAUGCAAGUCGAACGGUAACAGGCCUUCGGGUGCUGACGAGUGGCGAACGGGGGAGUAAUGCAUCGGAACGUGCCCAGAGGCGGGGGAUAACGCAGCGAAAGCUGUGCUAAUACCGCAUGUGAUCUGAGGUUGAAAGCGGGGGACCAGGCAGCAAUGUUUGGCCUCGCGCCUUUGGAGCGGCCGAUGUCGGAUUAGGUAGUUGGUGGGGUAAAGGCCUACCAAGCCGACGAUCUGUAGCUGGUCUGAGAGGACGACCAGCCACACUGGGACUGAGACACGGCCCAGACUCCUACGGGAGGCAGCAGUGGGGAAUUUUGGACAAUGGGCGCAAGCCUGAUCCAGCAAUGCCGCGUGCGGGAAGAAGGCCUUCGGGUUGUAAACCGCUUUUGUACGGAACGAAAAGGUGCUGGCUAAUACCUGGGGCUGAUGACGGUACCGUAAGAAUAAGCACCGGCUAACUACGUG